rnacentral:rRNA from 1 species
GACGAACGCUGGCGGCGUGCUUAACACAUGCAAGUCGAACGGAAAGGCCCUGCUUUUGUGGGGUGCUCGAGUGGCGAACGGGUGAGUAACACGUGAGUAACCUGCCCUUGACUUUGGGAUAACUUCAGGAAACUGGGGCUAAUACCGGAUAGGAGCUCCUGCUGCAUGGUGGGGGUUGGAAAGUUUCGGCGGUUGGGGAUGGACUCGCGGCUUAUCAGCUUGUUGGUGGGGUAGUGGCUUACCAAGGCUUUGACGGGUAGCCGGCCUGAGAGGGUGACCGGCCACAUUGGGACUGAGAUACGGCCCAGACUCCUACGGGAGGCAGCAGUGGGGAAUAUUGCACAAUGGGCGGAAGCCUGAUGCAGCAACGCCGCGUGCGGGAUGACGGCCUUCGGGUUGUAAACCGCUUUCGCCUGUGACGAAGCGUGAGUGACGGUAAUGGGUAAAGAAGCACCGGCUAACUACGUGCCAGCAGCCGCGGUGAUACGUAGGGUGCGAGCGUUGUCCGGAUUUAUUGGGCGUAAAGGGCUCGUAGGUGGUUGAUCGCGUCGGAAGUGUAAUCUUGGGGCUUAACCCUGAGCGUGCUUUCGAUACGGGUUGACUUGAGGAAGGUAGGGGAGAAUGGAAUUCCUGGUGGAGCGGUGGAAUGCGCAGAUAUCAGGAGGAACACCAGUGGCGAAGGCGGUUCUCUGGGCCUUUCCUGACGCUGAGGAGCGAAGGCGUGGGGAGCGAACAGGCUUAGAUACCCUGGUAGUCCACGCUGUAAACGGUGGGUACUAGGUGUGGGGUCCAUUCCACGGGUUCCGUGCCGUAGCUAACGCUUUAAGUACCCCGCCUGGGGAGUACGGCCGCAAGGCUAAAACUCAAAGGAAUUGACGGGGCCCCGCACAAGCGGCGGAGCAUGCGGAUUAAUUCGAUGCAACGCGUAGAACCUUACCUGGGUUUGACAUGGAUCGGGAGUGCUCAGAGAUGGGUGUGCCUCUUUUGGGGUCGGUUCACAGGUGGUGCAUGGCUGUCGUCAGCUCGUGUCGUGAGAUGUUGGGUUAAGUCCCGCAACGAGCGCAACCCUUGUUCACUGUUGCCAGCACGUUAUGGUGGGGACUCAGUGGAGACCGCCGGGGUCAACUCGGAGGAAGGUGGGGAUGACGUCAGGUCAUCAUGCCCCUUAUGUCCAGGGCUUCACGCAUGCUACAAUGGCUGGUACAGAGAGUGGCGAGCCUGUGAGGGUGAGCGAAUCUCGGAAAGCCGGUCUCAGUUCGGAUUGGGGUCUGCAACUCGACCUCAUGAAGUCGGAGUCGCUAGUAAUCGCAGAUCAGCAACGCUGCGGUGAAUACGUUCCCGGGGCU